rnacentral:tRNA from 1 species
GCCGGCAUAGCUCAGAGGCCAGAGCGUCCCGACUUUUAGUCGGGAGGGUAAGCAAGUUCAACUCUUGCUGUCGGCU